AGUGAACGCUGGCGGUAGGCCUAACACAUGCAAGUCGAACGGCAGCACAGUAAGAGCUUGCUCUUACGGGUGGCGAGUGGCGGACGGGUGAGGAAUACAUCGGAAUCUACUUUUUCGUGGGGGAUAACGUAGGGAAACUUACGCUAAUACCGCAUACGACCUACGGGUGAAAGCAGGGGAUCUUCAGACCUUGCGCGAUUGAAUGAGCCGAUGUCGGAUUAGCUAGUUGGCGGGGUAAAGGCCCACCAAGGCGACGAUCCGUAGCUGGUCUGAGAGGAUGAUCAGCCACACUGGAACUGAGACACGGUCCAGACUCCUACGGGAGGCAGCAGUGGGGAAUAUUGGACAAUGGGCGCAAGCCUGAUCCAGCCAUACCGCGUGGGUGAAGAAGGCCUUCGGGUUGUAAAGCCCUUUUGUUGGGAAAGAAAAGCAGCAGGUUAAUACCCCGCUGUUCUGACGGUACCCAGAGAAUAAGCACCGGCUAACUUCGUG
rnacentral:rRNA from 1 species